UAGGGAAUAUUGCGCAAUGGACGAAAGUCUGACGCAGCAACGCCGCGUGGGUGAUGAAGCAUCUUGGUGCGUAAAACCCUGUCAGUGGGGAAGAACCGUACGAGUAGUAACUGACUCGUGCCUGACGGUACCCACAGAGGAAGUCCCGGCUAACUCCGUGCCAGCAGCCGCGGUAAUACGGGGGGGACAAGCGUUGUUCGGAUUUACUGGGCGUAAAGGGUGCGUAGGCGGACCUUCAAGUAGGAUGUGAAAACUAUCGGCUCAACUGAUAGCCUGCAUCCUAAACUGAGGGUCUUGAGUAUAUCAGAGGAAAGCGGAAUUCCAGGUGUAGCGGUGAAAUGCGUAGAUAUCUGGAGGAACACCAGUAGCGAAGGCGGCUUUCUGGGGUAAUACUGACGCUGAAGCACGAAGGCUAGGGGAGCAAACAGGAUUAGAUACCCUGGUAGUCCUAGCGGUAAACGAUGGGCACUAGGUGUCGGGAGGUGUUGACCCUCUCGGUGCCGCAGCUAACGCAUUAAGUGCCCCGCCUGGGGAGUACGAUCGCAAGAUUGAAACUCAAAGGAAUUGACGG
rnacentral:rRNA from 1 species